CUGUGAUGUGGGGAGCCUAUUGCAAUUCCUUUGGCAGAAAAAGAAAAGGAAAAGGAUGGAUUUGCUUUCUGCAGACCUCUGCUCCAGCUGCACUGGGUCGCCAUGUGGAGCUAUGUAAAACACUGAAAGUGAUUUUAAACCUCUGCUGCUUCAAUUUGAAGGAAGGGACUAGAGGUCUGGGCUACAAAAUGUGACCCUUUGAGUGAUUGUGCAUCAUCUGGGGAAGGAACAAUGCUGCAGAGCAGGACCACAUCAUUCUCCAGAGUUUCUGCUUGAACUGACAGGCCCAGGUUGAUCCAGCACUUUUCCUCCUGUGUACCAAGUGCUUGCAGACACUGCCACGUUCAAACUGUAAACUCUCACAGGAGAGGCAGCUCAUCGUACUGGGAAUGAUACUGUGGUAUCCCAUAAUAAAAAUAUUU